rnacentral:rRNA from 1 species
AGCAGCCGCGGUAAUUCCAGCUCCAAUAGCGUAUAUUAAAGUUGUUGCAGUUAAAAAGCUCGUAGUUGAAUUUCGGGAUCAAUUAGUCGGUCGUGCCUCUGGUACGUACUGGUUUUAUUGGUUCCUCCCUUCUGACGAAACAUGAUGUCAUUAAUUUGGUGUCGUGGAGAAUCAGGACUGUUACUUUGAAAAAUUAGAGUGUUUAAAGCAAGCUAACGCUUGAAUACAUUAGCAUGGAAUAAUGAAAUAGGACGUUUGAUUCUAUUUUGUUGGUUUCUAGGGUCGACGUAAUGAUUAAUAGGGAUAGUUGGGGGCAUUAGUAUUCAACUGUCAGAGGUGAAAUUCUUGGAUUUAUUGAAGACUAACUACUGCGAAAGCAUUUGCCAAGGAUGUUUUAUUAAUCAAGAACGAAAGUUAGGGGAUCGAAGACGAUCAGAUACCGUCGUAGUCUUAACCAUAAACUAUGCCACUAGGGAUCGGAUGAUGUUAAUUUUUUAANGACUCAUUCGGCGCCUUACGG